CCCUUAGACGUUCUGGGCCGCACGCGCGCUACACUGACCAGUGCAACAAGCAUCCGUCCUUGGCCGACAGGCCCGGGCAAUCUUUGAACGCUGGUCGUGAUGGGGAUAGACUUUUGCAAUUAUUAAUCUUCAACGAGGAAUGCCUAGUAGGCGCAAGUCAUCAGCUUGCGUCGAUUACGUCCCUGCCCUUUGUACACACCGCCCGUCGCUCCUACCGAUUGGGUGUGCUGGUGAAAUGUUCGGAUCGGCCGUUUGUCGCGGUUUCCGCGUCAUGUGGCUGAGAAGUUCAUUAAACCCUCCCACCUAGAGGAAGGAGAAGUCGUAACA
rnacentral:rRNA from 1 species